rnacentral:rRNA from 1 species
GACGAACGCUGGCGGCGUGCUUAACACAUGCAAGUCGAGCGGAGCGUCGCACGGGUGAGUAACGCGUGAGUAACUUCCCCCCUCUCUGGGAUAACAUUUGGAAACGGCUGCUAAUACCGGCUAGUGGGGGAUGACUCGGGUCCUAUCAGCUUGUUGGGGGGGUAGUGGUCUACCAAGGCGACGACCGGUAGCCGGCCUGAGAGGGCGACCGGCCACAUGGGGCUGCGGUAGGGACCAAACGCGUACGGGAGGCAGCAGGGGAGAAUAUUGCACAAUGGGGGAAACCCUGAGGCAGCAACGCCGCGUGCGGGAUGACGGCCUGGGGGUUGUAAACCGCUGUCAGCCAUGACGCGGUAGUGGCAGAAGAAGCACCGGCUAACUACGUGCCAGCAGCCGCGGUAAUUC